CGUGAAAUUGUUGAAAGGGAAACGCUUGAAGUCAGUCGCGUUGUCUGGGACUCAGCCUUGCUUCUGCAUGGUGUAUUUCCUGGUUAACGGGCCAACAUCGAUUUUGGUCGGUGGAUAAAGUCAAGAGGAAUGUGGCACCUUCGGGUGUGUUAUAGCCUCUUGUCGGAUGCAUCGACUGGGAUCGAGGAUCGCAGCACGCCUUUUUGGCCGGGGUUCGCCCACGUAACGUGCUUAGGAUGUUGGCAUAAUGGCUUUAAUCGACCCGUCUUGAAACACGGACCAAGGAGUCUAACAUGCCCGCGAGUGUUAGGGUGGAAAACCCUUGCGCGUAAUGAAAGUGAAAGUUGGGACCUCUGUCAUGGGGGGCACCGACGCCCGGCCUUGAACUUCUGUGACGGCGCCGCGGUAGAGCGUGUAUGUUGGGACCCGAAAGAUGGUGAACUAUGCCUGAAUAGGGCGAAGCCAGAGGAAACUCUGGUGGAGGCUCGUAGCGAUU
rnacentral:rRNA from 1 species